AACGAACGCUGGCGGCAGGCUUAACACAUGCAAGUCGAGCGCGCCCUUCGGGGUGAGCGGCGGACGGGUGAGUAACACGUGGGUGACCUGCCCCUCACUCUGGGAUAAGCCUGGGAAACUGGGUCUAAUACCGGAUAUGACUUCCUAUCGCAUGGGGGGUUGUGGAAAGUUUUUCGGUGGGGGAUGGGCCCGCGGCCUAUCAGCUUGUUGGUGGGGUGAUGGCCUACCAAGGCGACGACGGGUAGCCGGCCUGAGAGGGCGACCGGCCACACUGGGACUGAGACACGGCCCAGACUCCUACGGGAGGCAGCAGUGAGGAAUUUUCCGCAAUGGGCGCAAGCCUGACGGAGCAAUGCCGCGUGAAGGAAGAAGGCCCUCGGGUUGUAAACUUCUUUUGCUUAGGAAGAUUAUGACGGUACUAAGCGAAUAAGGACCUGCUAACUACGUGCCAGCCGCCGCGGUAA
rnacentral:rRNA from 1 species